UUGACCUCAAAUCAGGUAGGACUACCCGCUGAACUUAAGCAUAUCAAUAAGCGGAGGAAAAGAAACUAACAAGGAUUCCCCUAGUAACUGCGAGUGAAGCGGGAAAAGCUCAAAUUUGAAAUCUGGCGGUUCUUGAACUGUCCGAGUUGUAAUCUAGAGAAGUGUUACCUGUGCUGAACCGUGUACAAGUCUCCUGGAAUGGAGCAUCAUAGAGGGUGAGAAUCCCGUCUUUGACAUGGACUGCCUGUACAUUAUGGUGCGCUCUCAAAGAGUCGAGUUGUUUGGGAAUGCAGCUCAAAAUGGGUGGUAAAUGCCAUCUAAAGCUAAAUAUUGGCGAGAGACCGAUAGCGAACAAGUACCGUGAGGGAAAGAUGAAAAGAACUUUGGAAAGAGAGUUAAACAGUACGUGAAAUUGCUGAAAGGGAAACGCUUGAAGUCAGUCACGUUGGCUAGAAAUCAGCCUUGCUCUUGCUUGGUGUACUUUCUGGUUGAUGGGUCAGCAUCAAUUUCGACCAUUGGAUAAAGUCUCUGGGAAUGUGGCAUCUUAGGAUGUGUUAUAGCCCAGGGUCGCAUACAGUGGUUGGGAUUGAGGAAUUCAGCACGCCGCAAGGCCGGGUUUCGACCACGUUCGUGCUUAGGAUGCUGGCAUAAUGGCUUUAAUCGACCCGUC
rnacentral:rRNA from 1 species